AUGUUUCGAUCUAAGCAGUGCGUCUUCCUUGGCUACAGUGCUCAGCACAAAGGGGUCAAGUGCCUAGAUGUCUCCAUAGAGCGAGUUUACAUCUCCCAUGAUGUAGUUUUUGAUGAAACUAAAUUUCCAUUCACUGACCUUCACCCCAACGCUGGUGCACUUCUUCGAGAAGAAAUUCUUCUCCUGCCUCCUCAUCUCACUAGUUUUGAUCAAGGGCAACAAAAUAUUGAUGAUCAUUUGUUGACUAACUCAUCUAAUGGCAUGCAUGAGCUUUGUGUUGAUGAAACAGGAGAAAACUGCGAAGAAAAUACUCAAAACAGUGAAAAACUUGGGUUAUAUCCCAUGUGCCCCACGACGGGAGACAACGCGGUAGGAGACAGAUCCUCCUCGGGAUCCGCAGCGUCGCGGGCGAUCAGAUCAUCCUCGGGAUCUGGCGGCGCAGAGGAGACACGCGCAGGCGCGCCGGAUUCACACGUCUCCGCGCCCGACACGCGGGCCGCGCUAGACAUGCGGGUCCCUCUAGGCGGGACGCGGUACGGCGCUUGUCCCGUCACGUACAAGCGGCGUGACCCCGCGCGGUCCAGCGAGGACGCGGAUCCAGGGGCUGGUCCCACUAUUGUCGACCAGCCGACCGGCGCGCGGACCCGAGCCACAGGGCCAUCAUUGCGCAAUGAUGGGCGGCUGCAUGGCUCGGGAUGA
rnacentral:rRNA from 1 species